rnacentral:misc_RNA from 1 species
UCCUGGUUUCCCAGGCAGUCCCAUCAGAGUGCCUCACAAAGUGAGUAGCAACUGACGGCAAGGGUUGCGCUCGUUAGAGGACUUAACCUAACAUCUCACGACACGAGCUGACGACAGCCAUGCAGCACCUGUGUAAUUGUCUAGAUCGAAACCUAGAAAGCCAUAUUUCUAUGGAUGUCAAAAACAUGUCAAGCCCAGGUAAGGUUCCUCGCGUAGUAUCGAAUUAAACCACAUGUUCCACCGCUUGUGCGAAUCCCCGUCAAUUCCUUUGAGUUUUAGCCUUGCGACCGUAGUCCCCAGGCGGAUCACUUAACGCGUUAGCUGCGAUACUGACCUAGCUAAGCCAAGCCAACAUCUAGUGAUCAUCGUUUAGGGCGUGGACUAC